rnacentral:lncRNA from 1 species
GAUAAAGAGCAUAUUUAUUGACCAAAAUGUCAUAUCUUUAUUAGUCUUCCUUCCCCCAAUGGAAAAAAAAAACUAAAAGAAGACAUGUCAAUGUACAAGUAACAUCAUAAUUUAUGCAUUAUUCCUUGAACAUGACUUAACUCAGUUAUCCCCUGUGGUGAACGUUUCUUCUUGUUCCUUGGGGUUAAUUCUAUUGACAGUUGCACCCACAUCAUCG